AAUGAACGUUGGCGGCGUGGAUUAGGCAUGCAAGUCGAGCGAGAACCCGCAAGGGGGACAGCGGCGAACGGGGUAGGAAUACGUAGGUAACGUACCCUCGGGGCGAGGACAGCCACGGGAAACUGUGGGUAAUACUCGAUAAACUUCCCAAUCAUUACGGAAGGGGAAGCAAUGGGUGUGAUUCCACCUGAGGAGCGGCUUACGCAGUAUCAGCUAGUUGGUGAGGUAACGGCUCACCAAGGCUACGACGCUUAGGGGGUGUGAGAGCAUGGCCCCCACCACUGGCACUGAGACACUGGCCAGACACCUACGGGUGGCUGCAGUCGAGAAUCUUCGGCAAUGGACGCAAGUCUGACCGAGCGACGCCGCGUGUGGGGAUGAAGGCCUUCGGGUUGUAAACCACUGUCAGAGGGGAGUGAAGUGUACGAGAGUUAUCUCUUGUAUUUGACAGAGCCUCAGAGGAAGCACGGGCUAAGUUCGUGCCAGCAGCCGC
rnacentral:rRNA from 1 species